AAUCUGGUAUGAGUGGUUCUAGAAUUUGUAUGCGGACAUGGGGAUAGCAAGACUGAAAAAGAGGAAGUUGGUUCAAAUCCAACUGAAAUGGAACUAGUAAGAAACCAUUAUAAUCCAAAAAUUUUUCCUUUUUCUUUGUAUUUUUCUAAUACUAAUAAUUUGGCUAAUAUAUUUUUCAUAGUACCCAAUGAAAAAAAAAAUAUCCCUCACUAGAAUGGUCAAUAGGUUAGGUUCAGGUCCACCAAAACCAGUUUUUGAGACAAAACAGUGCCAUGGUGUAGCCCCGACAUGUGAAGGCUGAAAAGAUAAAGGAUGGGAACCAAGCCCACUCUUACGUACCCACCUGUUUCUACCAACAUUUUGCUGUUGUUGGAGAGUAGCUCUGAUGCUUUAAAAUGGAAAUCAAAUUCCUUUAUCAGGAACGCUCAAACCCAC